AGCAGCCGCGGUAAUUCCAGCUCCAAUAGCGUAUAUUAAAGUUGUUGCAGUUAAAAAGCUCGUAGUUGAAUUUCGGGGUUAGUAGAUUGGUCAUGCCUCCGGUAUGCACUGGUCUUACUGAUUCCUCCUUCCUGAUGAACCGUAAUGCCAUUAAUUUGGUGUUGCGGGGAAACUGGACUGUUACUUUGAAAAAAUUAGAGUGUUUAAAGCAGGCUAACGCUUGAAUACAUUAGCAUGGAAUAAUGAAAUAGGACGUUCGAUCUUAUUUUGUUGGUUUCUAGGAUUGACGUAAUGAUUAAUAGGGAUAGUUGGGGGCAUUAGUAUUCAAUUGUCAGAGGUGAAAUUCUUGGAUUUAUUGAAGACUAACUACUGCGAAAGCAUUUGCCAGGAUGUUUUCAUUAAUCAAGAACGAAAGUUAGGGGAUCGAAGACGAUCAGAUACCGUCGUAGUCUUAACCAUAAACUAUGCCGACUAGGGAUCGGAUGAUGUUAAUUUUUUAAUGUACUCAUUCGGCGCCUUA
rnacentral:rRNA from 1 species